CUAUUUGUGUGCGUUCGCCAGUUCAGACCUGCCCGGCAAAUGUCUGCUGCGCUCGCAAAAAUGGGCUCGCAGCACCAAAUUCAUUUUAUUACCACUUGGACUAAAAAGGCGAAACAGUUUUUUUUUGGUUCUCCAAAGAGCACCUUGUCAUCCGUGCUGUGAUAUCCUCUCCUUUUAGCGUGCACCGCGGUCAAUAAAAAACAUCUCACUAUGCGAAAUCUAGCACCCAAGUCGAAAUGUUGCUGAGAAUGAGGGAGCGUCAUCAUCGCCUAGCAACGCUCCUAGCAACAAGAAACAUCUGCCGUUUUAAGGACCAAUGAGACUGCGGCGCAGCUGUGUUGUUGCCUGUUGCUCAAAAAAGGGAUAUUUUAAGAUCUUGGGAGCGUUGCGUGUUUCAAGGGGGUUAUUGGGAAAGCGAUACAGCGCCUAGAUAUAAAAGGGAAACUUCAGUCAGUCCCUGGAUCUGGACAGCUGACGCAUAUAACAAAAGAGACUCAAUGUUAGAGCUUCGGACAGGAACAGAGCGGAGACUAACCCAACUAGCUCUGAGCGAGGAUCAAUUUUCAUCCUAAUUCAACUGAUCUGCCAGCUCUUUGGGUGUCGGCAAGCUUGAGUAACCUUCAAGAGCUGUAAAGAGGAGGUUCUAAAACAAUGUUCACUGUGGAGAGGCUGACUCAGAGCACAGGGACCCAUUCCAGAGAGCAGUUUGACGGUUGAUUGCGAUCUCCUUCAGCCAGUUCCUUCCAAGACAGACCAAGUAGAUCAACAACGUCGAAAGUCGCUUACUUUAAGAGAAAAUAUGCAGAAGAGGAGGAUUUACAGAGAGAUUACCAUGGGUAUUUUCAGAAACACUUGAUAUUGCCUGAGGACCGGAGCUGUAUUCUAAAACUGUCCCUGGAGAAACUCAGAUUCCUGGAAGACCCAGAAGCCUACCUGCGCAGGUCCGUGCUGAUCAACAACCUCCUGAGGAAGAUCCACAAUGAGGCUGAGGUGGAGGAGGAGGACUUCCGGGCCUAUGACAGGAGCCCGGGGCAAGGGCUGCUGUACGGGGAUGGCAGGAAACGGGUGAAAGUGCUGGUGGCAGACUGCUGCGCGGAGCCCUUCAGCUACGAGGAGCUGCAGCACUAUCAUGUGGUGCCUUACGGGUCUGGGAACUGCCUGUACGGACUGGGCUACCCCAGCUCCCCACCAGACCACAGCCCUCAGCUACUGGUUUAUAAACUGGAUGACAAUGGGUGACACCUUCUGAGCUGCAAACUGUUGGAAACCAGCACGUUGUGACCAGUCUUAUUGACUCGAAGAAACAGAUUACAUGCAUGUUAAAAUGCUGUCAAGUUCAGAAAGUCGUAGCCAGUGAUGCCUACCCAUCACUGCUCUGUUAGGAGUCACCUCAAUGUAGUUUAAUUGACUUGGUUUCAAGGCCAGUAGCACAAGGAAUUAAUUGGAGAAAUCAGAUAUUCGGUUACAUUUACAAUGCUUUCAAAUGUUAUUAGUAAAAGAGAGAAAUAAUGCACUCGGUAAAAUAAAACUUUUAGAAAACAGUUUCCAGGUCAAGGCUUAUGCAAACACAAGCACAGUUGAUGUUUUCAAGGUUAUUCCGAUCUGCUUUUGCUGAGAAAAAAGUAUUUUAUUAAUCAGGCAUGAGAAUGGCUUAACCUCUUUGAAGCCAAGAAUGUUGCAUCUUUGUAGACUGGUCAUGAGACUUUGACAGGGGUGCUGCUGUAUGGUACUGUACUGUUGUGUUUUAAGCUGUUUGUGUUACGAACAUAAUUUACUAACACAUUUGGGAAAAUUAAUUCCGUUACAGGACCACUAUGGAUGAUUCCAAAUCAUUUUGCUUUUAAAUAGCUGAAUCUAUGAAUAUAUUUUUCCAGUAAUUGGAAGGGAAAUUGCAUGUGAGAGUGAUUAGGGUUUUGAUGUUGUAUGUUUUGACACCAUUUUGAUUAGUGUUGGCUUUGUGGACACAGGCCAGUUGCUGAAAGCGCUGCGGUCUGUUUUCCAGGAAGUAAGGUAGUGGUUUGUGUCGGUGUGAGUGGUAGCUGACAAGUACCAGUGCGCAGACUCAUCCUCUGAGUUGUUUCCAGCAAGGCUUAAAGAGGACAUGCUUUCUGUGCUUUCACUGCUGCAAAAACAGUCUCAAACCUUCUGUGCAACUUUCUGCGUUCCUUACACACCACGGACUUCAGUUCGCUCUUUAGAACGAAGUAGACAUGCAGUUCGCUAUAUCCUGAUUUUAGUGGUAUGAUAAAACUUAAGGUUGUAUGCAUUUAAUUUAGGCUUUUCAUGAGUUAUAUUGUAUUUGAACGAAGCGUUCUGUGUUUUUGUGGUGGAAGUGGCGUGUAAAUGUAGUAUUGAUUGAGUGGAUGAGGGACUACCGGCACCCACGGAUUCAGCCCACGGUGGAUUUAGAUGUGGUUUUGCCGCCCUCUGCUGGUCACAGGAAAUUCGAUGGAAAAGAGAUGCGUUUCAGUGGAUCAAUAUUUCUAUAAAUGAGAUGGAGAUUAUUGAAAAAUGCAAACUAAUCGACUCAGAACAACUGGAGGUUGAGAACACAGAGUCUGCAGACCAUGACAGGUCGAAAAAUGGAUCCAAUGGUUUAUUUCCUUUGUAACCUUAUUCUCUUGUAAUUGUGUCCUAAUAAUGUGUUUACGAUGCUGCUGAAGACAUGUCAGAUGAGUUUACUUGA